AACUAACCAGGAUUCCCCUAGUAACGGCGAGUGAAGAGGGAAGAGCCCAGCACCGAAGCCUGUGGUCAUUUGAUCAUUAGGCAAUGUGGUGUUUAGGUUUGCUCUGCGAGUAUACUGCUCUGCUCUAAGUCCAGUUAUGAAAACGGUUCAUGGACAUAGCCCAUAGAGGGUGAAAGGCCCGUAUGAGCGGAGAGGUUGGCAGUAUACUCCGGAGCUUACCUUGGAGUCGGGUUGUUUGAGAAUGCAGCCCAAAGUGGGUGGUAAACUCCAUCCAAGGCUCAAUACUGGCACGAGUCCGAUAGCGAACAAGUACCGUGAGGGAAAGUUGAAAAGUACUCUGAAGAGAGAGUAAACAGUACGUGAAACCGCGCAAAGGUAAACGGGAAGAGUUGAACUGCAAGCUUGAAAGAUUCAGCUGGUUCAGUUGGUUGGCUGGCAUUGAAGCUCGCUUGAACAGCGGGUCAUUGGUCUUCGGAUCUUUGGCUGGUGUUCUCUUGACAUGUUGAGCCUGCGUUCUUUGCUUUCUGCUGCUGGGCCAGUGCACUUCUUUCAGGUCUUCAUCACGACCGGCGCUGCUGUCUGUCUGCUGUAGCUUAACCAGUGGAGCUCGGGCCUUGUGUCUUUGUUCUGCUGGGACGGCAGGUAGCUUGUUGAGUACAUGCUAUUCUUUGAGUGUAAUAGCUAGCUACAGUGUGAUCUGUGCAGUGCGUCGGAGAUUGCGGUUGUUAAAAUGGGUGGCGUGAAUGCUGGCCGUUGGUUCGAUUGCGGGCAUGACUGCCUUGACGGUGGUUGUUCGUAGUUGGCUACGGUUGGUUCUUUGCGUUGCUUGCUAUCAAUGGCCGACAGUCUGUGAUGUAGUGGUAUGCUCUCUUCCCGACCCGUCUUGAAACACGGACCAAGGAGUUUAACAUGUGCGCGAGUCAUUGGGUUCUACGAAACCUACAGGCGCAAUGAAAGUAAAGGUCUGGCUUGUCUGGACUAAGGUGAGAUCCGGUCGUUUCUGCUUGCUUCUUUUCGAAGGAGCUUGUGGUACGGUUGGCGCAUCACCGGCCCGUCCCAUGGUGUGGUUAUAGCUCCUUGUGGGUUGUGCAUCACCGGGGUGGAGCAUGAGCGUACAUGUUGAGACCCGAAAGAUGGUGAACUAUGCUUGUGUAGGUCGAGCCAGAGGAAACUCUGGUGGAGGACCGUAGCGAUUCUGACGUGCAAAUCGAUCGUCAAACAUGAGCAUAGGGGCGAAAGAC
rnacentral:rRNA from 1 species